ACGACCUUACUUGAACAGGAUCUGUUCUAUAGGAUCGUCUGUAUCCUUGAGUUCCAAGGAGACAGGACCCUAAGUCUGGUUGAUGAGACACGACCGUGCGACCAGAGC